rnacentral:lncRNA from 1 species
GUGAGUCAACGGUCGGCCGCGCAAUCCCCGCGUGACACGUGGCCGAGCCAACGGUCAGAUGGGGGCAUAGGACUGUCCGGUGCGCCAAUGGCUCCUAGUCUACAACGGUCGACUGCGCCAAGUUUGGAAGGAGAUCCGCACCAGACCGUGAAUAGUAGAUGUCCGGUGGUGCACCGGACUGUCCGGUGCGCCACCCGACAGAAAGCAAGUAUUGCCUUCCAAAUGGGAUUCCAACGGCUCCUAGGCACCUUAAGCCUAUAAAAGGGACUCCUAGGCGCCUCCAACAAAGGAAUAAGUACAGCCAACAAGUGUAGACAUCACUCUGAUCAAUUCUCACUCUCCCUCUUGUGUGUAUCUCUCUAGUUUGUGUAGAAGGCAAAGCUUUAAGCCUUUAGAGAGUGGAGAAGAGCUGCUAAGAGCUAGAGCAAGGUCUUGAGCAUAUCGUUACUCUGCCGAAGUGCUGCCAAGAAGAUUGUAAGCAGCCGCGGUUUCGUUGUAACCAACUCAACAUAGUGGAAGGCUCUAUCUGUCUGACUGACAGAUCUGAGCAAACGGAGGAAGGAGUUGAAAUAGACUCUAAGCCCAGGUGUGGCUAACUCCAACGAGGACUAGGCAAGCAUUUCAGGUUUGGCCAAACCUCGGGAUAAAUUCCUGUGUCCACGUGCUCUGCUCUGUGUUGUGUGCUGAUUCUGUCUUAUUCAUUUCUUACAUCUGCACUUCACUGCUUACUUGUGGUACUAGCUUUCUUUGAAGUGCAGGAUAAUCUUUGUCACACCCGGUUUUGAAGGUAAACCGAAUGCGAACCAUGUACGUGCCAGGAUCAGAAAUUCACGUACAUAGUGAUUACAUAAAUGACUCAUCAUAGCACAAUGCUUCGAAUAACAAUAAAGAGUAAGUAAUAAUAUUACAGACCAGAGCCAUUUACAUAAUAUAAAUCAAAGUACACAUAGUAGAAACGUAGCCAACGUAAACAACCCAUCACAGGCAGCUGACUAGGGGAGGUCGCUAGCCUAAUCCUCAAACUCGUCGAAGUCCUGGAACUCCUGGAGAUCCGCCUCGACACCUCCUUCUUUACCUGAGCAUAUAUUGCACCAAAGGCAACCUGGUGUUUUGUGAAAGCAAGGGUGAGUACACAUCAACGUACUCAGCAAAUGUCCCGUUUGGUUGUAGUGGACUAGCUUUAUGUGGGGUUAGGCUCAAGCAGUUGCUUUUAGUUGGUCAGGUAUUUAUUGUUAGUAGAAGCCAGAUUUUAUCAUAAAACCCAAGUUAUAAUCCCAAAAGUACCUCCUGAGAGAGGGAAUACUAGAAUUCAUAAUUAAAGUCACCAUCAUUAACCAUCAUCAUUAAAGUCAUCAUCCAAGGUGUAUCCGGAGUAUCUCUAAUCAAAGAGGAUCCCAAGGCUGCUCUUAACCGUGAGCACGGCUGAUAUAUCAGUUUCACUACCCUCUGCAGAGGUCGCACACUUUACCCAUGAGUCAUGAUUCCCUUUCUGCCCGGGGAGAGCUAAUCCCCAUUGAUCACUCCCUAGGUGGUCUGGCAGGGUAUCACUACGUAGCUGUUACAAAGAUUCCCUAGAGGUCAUAGCCGCCCGUUAGGUUUCUCCAGUUUGAUAAACACAGUACCCCUCCCCGCAGGAGAGUGACUAACCAAAAAGCAAAACAAAAGAACCUCGGCACUCAGCCUCGGCAGAGCAAGCACUGUGCCUGGACCCCAUUGACGGCACGACGGCGAAGCAACUACACCUCUAGUUCCUCUAAUUAAUUAGCUAAGGGCAUCCCAUUUCACCCUCAUGGUUGCACUGUUAUCCCGGGUGGUCUCUCAACGAAUAGGUCCUUACGGAGAGGUGCUCGGGAAACGGCCCGAGUCCCCUAAAAUGCCACAAGUAUAUCACCAUCGUAUCCAAAAUAAAAGCAUCGUAUCAUCAAGUAAUUCUCAUCAUGUUCGUUGAUUAGAGUAAAGCGCUAGCAUGUAGUUAACCAUAGUAAUCCGAAAGGUAAACAAGGAUAAGGUAAAUAGAAAGCUAGUAAAUCCUUAGGUUAUUCAUAGUAUGCGGGACAGUGUAUUAUAAAGUACAUGGGACAUAAUGGGACUGAGGACACUUGCCUUCACCAAACAGAUGCUCAGAAUCUUCAGCCUUGUAGAACUCGAAGAGCUGGGUCAUUUGGUCGCCGAAGCUUGACCGUCGAUUCCUCAAAGCUCAGAAACGAAUCGCGAUCUAAUCGCAACACGAAGCGAAGACGAACAGGCACAAGCAAACAAACAUAUACAUAUGCAUAAGAAUAUUACACCAUACAAGAUAAAAUGUUAUAAAAGCGAGCAAUAUAAAAUAGAGAGCGCUUCUACGGUUACGCAAGAAUAUGAAACACGUCGGUCGGAGCUACGGUCGAUAAGUUAUCGCGUUUAUGCUAAACGAAUAUGAACUAGGACAUUUAAUUCGGCACUAUCAAAUAUAAAUUAUAUCUACUAUUUAGUUUUGACUAACUUACUAUUUUAAUAGUGGAGGAUUAAACGAAUAUUUAAUUAAAUGACAUGAGUGAUUAUAAGCGACCGAUUUAAUAUCGCGCGUGGACAGCACCCGAUAUGCAAAAAAGGCAAUGCGUGCGAAUGACGCGUGAAGACGCGUGACAAUACGCGAAAUAGGGCGCGACCAACACGCGAAACCACGCGUGCGACAACGCGUGCGAACGACGGCGCACGCGGACAGCACGCGAACGGCACGCCAGGAACACUAACCAAUAUCGCCAUUAUAAUAAACAAUUAUUAAUUAAAAAACAUUCGAGUAGACAUAAUCAUAUUAACAUGUAUUUAUAAAGUGCAACUAAAAUUGUAAAUUGGUUCAAGUAGAUUGCUACUUUACUAACUAUCUGAAAAAUAAAUAAUCAAUUAAUUAACUAAAACAUGUAUCACAAUGAAAUAGUGUUACUAAUACGUAAACAACGAGGUUACGAAACAAGUCGAAACAGAUUUGAGACUUAAAAAUAUUUUGAAUAUUUUAUAUCUCGCAGAUUUAAUAGAAUGUGGCGUAAUCUAAUUGGUCAAAAUAUGGCCACACGGAGGACCAUAUGAGCAUGGGUGCCGAGGAUCCGUGGGAUUUGGAGCGGACGCUACAACGUGAAACAUCUAUAUUGACCAACCGUAGGGCGCCAUGUGGCCUGGAGACUAGUUUUUUCCACCACCCACGUGAUGCAUGCCGACAUGCAUGGGAGUCAUGCGUGCAUGGGUGGGCGAGCACUCGGCCACCGCUCAAUCGGCCUUUGGCCGCGACCAGCCAUGGCUGGUCGGCCAUGCAUCCAAGGGCUGGGCGUUUCACGGUUCGAUGUCGGCAGCGGAGGUGCGGUUGGCCGGCGAAGGAUAGAAAUGACAACAGCUAGCGCAGAAACAAAAUAAAGAAAAAUGGCUCACCGGAGAACGGGAAGGGCUCGUCGGAAGAAACAACUUCGUGCGUGGCAGGGACCCCUCGACACAGCGACGAGUGCGGCGAGACCUCCAGCUAGGACAUCGGUCCUUUCUCCACGGUGACAAAUGAUGCGACGACGAGCUCUGCAUGGGACCUCUGCUCGACGGCGGGCGCGGCGCCGGGGCGACUGCGUGAUGCAAGGGGUGGUUGCUGCAAGGUUGAGGGACAGAGAGCAGGUGCCGACUGUUUGAAUGGGACUAUGGGAGCGGCUAUAACGGACCAUUGCUAAAUUCUUGCGUCGUGGCCAUAUAGUGCGGUAGAGGUUGUUCACACACGGAAGAGAUGGUGGUGGGCCUGCGGCGCAGCAGCCGAGUGCGGCGCUGGUGCUUCCCCCACGCGUGCUAGCAGGUAGAUAUGAAUAUACAUAUAUGUUUAUAUGAAUAUAUCUAUUUAUAUUAGAUCAUGUCCCGAUAAUUUAAUUUGAUAGUUUUUCCUUCUUUCGAGUGUGAACACCGCCAAGAUCAUUUUAGCAAACAGAAAGAAAAUGUACCUCGGCUUAAAAUAUAAUACACAUAUUUAUUUAAAAUAGCAUCUAUAAAUUCCAUGUUAACUCCCCAUUUAAUAACAAACAAAAGAGGAAAAGAAAGGAAAAGAAAAUGUAACACCUGAAUUUUGAGAGUAGAUAAAAGAAAAUUUUAUACCCUCAAAAUCAGGGUGUUACAAAUCUAACCCCCUUAACAGAAUCUCGCCCUCGAGAUUCAAGAAGAAGCUAGAAAGAAAAACAAGGUUGGUUCACUUCGAUUCAAUUUUAACACUACCAGCUUAACUUGCUGACAUGAUACUUUGACCUUCAGAUAUUCACGAUCAACUGAUGCAACUCUUGAGGAUCUCUUGGACCUAUGGGUUAGGACCCACACACGCUUUCGGUGCGCCACUUUAAUCGUGUUGGUUGAUGCUGUUCGCAUUGUCUUCAUUGGGGUUAGCGGCUAACCCCCUUAACAGGAGCGUUGAUAUGCACUUGGUGAAGAUGUUAUCGAUUUUGAUCUUGACCGAUUAAGAGAGGUUGGUUGGAGGUUGCCAACCGGACAGGUGCAAGAGGGAAGGGUAUAGAUAGGAAAGGUACACAUAGAUGAAUUAAAAAGAGAAAAGGGAGAGCACCCAGAUACCUAACUCUAUGGCACUCAGCUAGUAAACUGAUGUCAUUGCGGACCAAGGACCACAACACAUCAACACUCAUCACAGAGAAGCAAAUCAGUCAUCACACAAAGACAAACAGCACAAGCAUACAACAACAAACAUCUCGUUGCUACACGUUAAUGUUAACUAGAUGGUGGUCUUUCUUGAAAAGGGAAUACCUACUCUCUAAGGCCGUCGAAGGACGAGGAGAGAAACAAGACGUGCAUGAUAGGGGCACGAGCACAACAAAGGAUGGAGUUAAGUGGCCAAGAAAAUGAUACGACCAAGGGCAUAAUGGGUAGAACACCACUCUCGAGUCAAGAUAUAAAAGAGUGGAUUUCAAAAGGCAGACCUAAGAUAAGCAUCAAGGCAAGAUCUAGUGAUUACAAAGGUAAGGGGACUAUCAAACAAAAGCUACGACUGGCAAUGUGGCAGAGGAAAAGGGAACGACCAAGAGUGGGAUGGGUAAGACAACACUCUUGAACUAAAACGAGGGAGGAGGCUUUAAAAUACAGGUACGAGAUAAGCAUCAAGGUAAAGAUCAAGGGAUGACAAGGGUGAGGGUGAUAACGGGCAAAUAAACAAAAAAGGAUGUAUUUUAGACAAAACGUGCAAGGCGUCAAAGGAGGGGAAGCAAUUAAUGGUGAAGUAGAUGAGGCAUUAUCCUUGAGCAGAGAUCGAAAGGAGGAGGUUUUGAAGGGUAGGUUCAAAGUAAGCAUGAAUGUAAGGGUAUAGAUAUUACAAGGGUUAAAGGUGAUAACAGACAAUAAUGUAAGAGAGGAGGUAAAUGGACAUAAGAACAAAAGAUAUAAGUAACAUAAAGGAUGGAGUUAAGACAAUACCUACAAGUGGAAAAGAAGAGGAUACGUCCAAGGGCCAAAUAGGUAAAUUGCCACUCUCAAAUUGAGGUGGAAGAGAGGAGAUUUUUAAUAGUCAGAAUAAAGAUGAGUAUCGACGCAAGAUCGAUGGAUGAAAAGGUGAUGGUGAUAGCAAAUAAAAAACACAGCAAAGGAUGGAAUUAAGACAAAACUUGUAAGGCGACAAGGAGUGAAAAGAAAUCAUGGGAGAGAUAAGUAACUCAUAGCUCUCAAACUAGGUUGAAAGAAAGGGGAGGCUUUUAAAGGAUAAGUUCAAGGUAAGCAUUUAGGUAGAAUACCUCAAUAUCGCAAGGGUCAAAGGCGAUAACAGACAAGGGUAUGAGAGAAAAGAUGAAGGCAUGGGAGAGCCAGUGGUAUGAGUACAACAAAUAAUAGAGUUGCGUCCGAGCUUAUACGCGGUAAAGAAGAGGAUAUAGCCAAGGGUGAGGUAAGGAAAGUACCGCUCUCAAAUUGGGAUAGGAGAUUGGAGAUUUUAGAGAAUGAACAAAGUGUAAUCACCAAGGUAAGAUCUAGAGAUGAGAAAGGUAAAGAUAAUACCCAACCGAAGCACAACAAAGGAUGGAGUUAAAAACCCGCAAGCGACAAGGAAGAGGAUACAACCAAUGGAAAAUGGGUAAAAUACAACUAUAAAAUUGAGAUGGAAGAGAGAACAUUUUAAAGGACAGGUAUAACAUAAGCAUCAAGUAAGAUAUAGAGGUGACAAGGGUAAAGGUGAUAAUGAUGAAAAGCAUAAUCCGUGGACAGAGUUAAGGCAAGAUUCACAAAAUGACUAAGUGGAGAAAACAAUCAAGGAUAAGAUAAGUGAGGUUCCAACAUAAGAGUUGAAGUAAAAAUUCAUUGCCGAAGGAAGUUACAAGGAAACAACGAGAUUAUCACGGUUGUGCAAAAUAAAAUGAUCGCUCAUGGAUCAUUAAGAAAUAGGGGUGGUCAAGGACAUGUUAACUGAAAUGUCUAAGUAGGCAGUAGAAAUUUAGAGGCAAGUAUUUGAAACAAGAGUAUUAAAGGGAUACAAGCAUGUCAAUACCAAAGAACUAGAGUUCGCCAGAUGGUAACAACUUAAUGACGAAAGAGGAAAGAAUCCCAAAAAGACAAGAAGGUUAUGGUCAGGGGGCAUCUACAAAGAUGUUGCAAGCACAAGAGUGAGAUCAGAUCUAAUAGAUUGAGAGAAGUAUAGACCAUACUAGAAUAAAAUACUUUUGGCAAGGGGCAUAUAGGAACACAACAUAGCAUUAGUCGAGGCGACUAAUAUUUUGAAGCGGAAUCAAGGAUGAGGUGAAGUAAUAAUCAAUGAGUCCUUAAAACGGCCAUUGCUACUCUAGGUCAGCGGUCCUACAGUCAGCAAGGCUUUGAUACCACUUAUGUCACACCCGGUUUUGAAGGUAAACCGAAUGCGAACCAUGUACGUGCCAGGAUCAGAAAUUCACGUACAUAGUGAUUACAUAAAUGACUCAUCAUAGCACAAUGCUUCGAAUAACAAUAAAGAGUAAGUAAUAAUAUUACAGACCAGAGCCAUUUACAUAAUAUAAAUCAAAGUACACAUAGUAGAAACGUAGCCAACGUAAACAACCCACCACAGGCAGCUGACUGGGGGAGGUCGCUAGCCUAAUCCUCGAACUCGUCGAAGUCCUGGAACUCCUGGAGAUCUGCCUCGACACCUCCUUCUUUACCUGAGCAUAGAUUGCACCAAAGGCAACCUGGUGUUUUGUGAAAGCAAGGGUGAGUACACAUCAACGUACUCAGCAAAUGUUCCGUUUGGUUGUAGUGGACUAGCUUUAUGUGGGGUUAGGCUCAAGCAGUUGCUUUUAGUUGGUCAGGUAUUUAUUGUUAGUAGAAGCCAGAUUUUAUCAUAAAACCCAAGUUAUAAUCCCAAAAGUACCUCCUGAGAGAGGGAAUACUAGAAUUCAUAAUUAAAGUCACCAUCAUUAACCAUCAUCAUUAAAGUCAUCAUCCAAGGUGUAUCCGGAGUAUCUCUAAUCAAAGAGGAUCCCAAGGCUGCUCUUAACCGUGAGCACGGCUGAUAUAUCAGUUUCACUACCCUCUGCAGAGGUCGCACACUUUACCCAUGAGUCAUGAUUCCCUUUCUGCCCGAGGAGAGCUAAUCCCCGUUGAUCACUCCCUAGGUGGUCUGGCAGGGUAUCACUACGUAGCUGUUACAAAGAUUCCCUAGAGGUCAUAGCCGCCCGUUAGGUUUCUCCAGUUUGAUAAACACAGUACCCCUCCCCGCAGGAGAGUGACUAACCAAAAAGCAAAACAAAAGAACCUCGGCACUCAGCCUCGGCAGAGCAAGCACUGUGCCUGGACCCCAUUGACGGCACGACGGCGAAGCAACUACACCUCUAGUUCCUCUAAUUAAUUAGCUAAGGGCAUCCCAUUUCACCCUCAUGGUUGCACUGUUAUCCCGGGUGGUCUCUCAACGAACAGGUCCUUACGGAGAGGUGCUCGGGAAACGGCCCGAGUCCCCUAAAAUGCCACAAGUAUAUCACCAUCGUAUCCAAAAUAAAAGCAUCGUAUCAUCAAGUAAUUCUCAUCAUGUUCGUUGAUUAGAGUAAAGCGCUAGCAUGUAGUUAACCAUAGUAAUCCGAAAGGUAAAGAAGGAUAAGGUAAAUAGAAAGCUAGUAAAUCCUUAGGUUAUUCAUAGUAUGCGGUACAGUGUAUUAUAAAGUACAUGGGACAUAAUGGGACUGAGGACACUUGCCUUCACCAAACAGAUGCUCAGAAUCUUCAGCCUUGUAGAACUCGAAGAGCUGGGUCAUUUGGUCGCCGAAGCUUGACCGUCGAUUCCUCAAAGCUCAGAAACGAAUCGCGAUCUAAUCGCAACACGAAGCGAAGACGAACAGGCACAAGCAAACAAACAUAUACAUAUGCAUAAGAAUAUUACACCAUACAAGAUAAAAUGUUAUAAAAGCGAGCAAUAUAAAAUAGAGAGCGCUUCUACGGUUACGCGAGAAUAUGAAACACGUCGGUCGGAGCUACGGUCGAUAAGUUAUCGCGUUUAUGCUAAACGAAUAUGAACUAGGACAUUUAAUUCGGCACUAUCAAAUAUAAAUUAUAUCUACUAUUUAGUUUUGACUAACUUACUAUUUUAAUAGUGGAGGAUUAAACGAAUAUUUAAUUAAAUGACAUGAGUGAUUAUAAGCGACCGAUUUAAUAUCGCGCGUGGACAGCACCCGAUAUGCAAAAAAGGCAAUGCGUGCGAAUGACGCGUGAAGACGCGUGACAAU